rnacentral:lncRNA from 1 species
GAUCGGAACAAUUUCACUCUAACUCAUCAAAGAUUAUCGAUCCAGAACAAUCCUAGUGAGCUCUCACAAUUCAUCAGUGACACCUAACAGUAUGUAGUGACAAUCCAGUAGAACUGAAAUGAACCUCUAGGUAUAGUUAACGUGUGAUUCAGUCUCUCUAUCGUGAGUUCCGACUAGAUGGCAGGUCAUAGAUAAAUCAUCAAAUCUCAACAUCAAUCAUAUGAUAGAUUUGAUUAGCUCAAAUAUGGUUGUAACUUCUAUGAAAAUAUUUUACUAUCAAUCACACAACUAUGACCAC